rnacentral:rRNA from 1 species
UGGGGAAUAUUGCACAAUGGGCGCAAGCCUGAUGCAGCCACGCCGCGUGUAUGGAUGAAGGCCUUCGGGUUGUAAAGUACUUUCAGCGGGGAGGAAGGGAGUAAAGUUAAUACCUUUGCUCAUUGACGUUACCCGCASAAGAAGCACCGGCUAACUCUAUGCCAGCAGCCGCGGUAAUUA